rnacentral:SRP_RNA from 1 species
GCUGGGUGUGGUGGUGCGCACCUGUAGUCCCAGCUACUUGGGAAGCUGAGGCAGGAGAAUCACUUGAACCCAGGAGGCGGAGGUUGCAGUGAGCCAAGAUCGCAUCACUGCACUCUAGCCUGAGUAACAGAGGGAGACUCUGUCUCAA